UACAGAGGGUGCGAGCGUUGUCCGGAAUACUGGGCGUAAAGGGCGCGUAGGCGGCUUGGUAAGUCGGGGGUGAAAGUCAGCGGCUCAACCGCUGGACUGCCUUCGAGACUGCCUGGCUUGAGCAUGGUAGAGGCUGGCGGAAUUCCCGGGUGUAGCGGUGGAAUGCGUAGAGAGUCGGGAAGAACGAUCGGUGGCGAAGGCGGGUUGCCUGGAGCCUUUGCUGACGCUGA
rnacentral:rRNA from 1 species